CAUAGAAUUUGGAUUUUUCUUCUUUGUAGAGUUUUGGAAAGACUGAGGCAAUCGCUGCUGAAGUCAGUGUUGUAAUGGUGAAUCGGGAUUUUUAAAUGAAGUGGGUUUGAAUACUCUUGACUGUUUUGUAAAAUCAAGUUACGUCUGUGAUUGAAGGAUUAAAGGGGUGUCUAUAGGAUUGAGUAUGCGGAGUGAAUGAAAUUUAUUAGAUUAAUC
rnacentral:lncRNA from 1 species